UGCUGUGCUGGACAGGCUGGAAUUCCAGUGUGACCCCAGUCAAAGGGAUUGUCACCUGUGGAUGAGUCCACACCGGAGCAGAACUCUCCAGAGCACCUGUGGUUGCAGAUAAGCCCAUGCCAGAGCAGGUACUGGGCUGUGCUUAUGUCUGGGCUGCAGCAGGUGUACCUCCACAGGGAUUGUGGCCAGCGGAUAAAAGGCCAUGCUGGAACUGGCACAUCUCAAAGCAACUUUGCCCAUGUCCAUGCUACAGCACGUACACCCUGGCUCAUAGAUAAGGCUCCACUUGGAGCAAGUACAACCCUAAGGAAUUGCAGUCUGUGGAUAAAUCCAAGCUGCAGCAGGUCAAGUUCAUUGCACUAUUAAACCCAAGGUCUGGUCCAAAGUGACCAGAAUUAUGUUAUGGGAAUUACAACAGCAGAAACCCCCGGAACCAACAGAGGACAAACCUUACAAGAAGCAGUGCAAAUGCAGCAGUGACCUGAGCUGGUUGUGGUGCCCAGUAAUUCCAUGCAAGUAACUUCACACCAUCUCUCCUGUCCUGAGUGCUCCCUAUAAGAGAUGGAACCCCUUAGCCAUGGACUAAAUGAACCCAAAGUUCACUGAUUAAUGGAAUGGUAUCUACAUAUAAUACCAAAGGAUGUGCAGGCAGAGCGGGCAGGAGCUGCACCCAGCCCAGCAGAAGGAUGCCAGCCCUGCAGAAUGCCAGCCCUGCCAGCUGUCACCAGCACGCCAGUGCCACAGGCACAAAGGUGGAUUCUCCACUUCUUCAUACUCCCAGGGAAGAUCCAAACAGACUGGAAUGCAUGUAAUUAGAAAGGCAUAAGAAAACAUAAAAUGUAAUUACCUUAGAAGGACAAAUCUUUAGAGGUAUUGGCUACAUUCCUGGAGUCCGCAGCCCUCACAUCUUAUUCCAGCAGCAUAAGACCUUGGAAGGAAGGAUCCAUCCUGAAAACUAUUGCCAGCUCUUUAGUUGCCUGAUGCCUAUCAAUGUCAGAGGUGGGAGACCAAGCCAGCUGGCACAAUAUCUUUCCUACUCCAGCUGGAAACAGUGAGCUGCUUAUAGAGGGCUCGUGUGCAGCCAGGACUGGAGUCUAGGUACGCUCCCAUCACCCUGCUUCAUCACCCUUCACAAAUGGCCACUUUCCACUCCUCUGGAAACUUCCUCUGAACUUGGAAACUAAGGCCUAAAUCACUUCACAGUCACUUUCAAUGAAAGACCAAGGUUUUUUUAGACCUCCAAAUGAGAGAGGUGGAGUGAAGGGUGCAGCAGAGGAGUGCUGUGUUUGUAGUUACCCUUGGCUGGACUUGAGGACAACAGUCCCUCCUAUGCUGCAACUGAUGCUGAACCUUCCCCAGAAGUACAGUCUCCAUCCAUGACCCUCUCCUGCCCCACACAUGGAAAAGACUGGGGAGGCCAUCAGCUCCUGCUUGAGCACUUCUGCUCUGAGAGACACGUGGCAGGUGACUUGAGAAAAUGGUAAGACUAAGUUUUCCAGAAUAGUAUCUAAUGGCAUCUUUCCGGCAAAGGAAAAAAAUAAAAAUCACACUCUGCUAGUUUCCCUUUCUAGCAGAGCACAGAAAA